rnacentral:rRNA from 1 species
GUCUUUUUGAUUAUAAUUUAAAGUCUGACCUGCCCAAUGAGUAAUUGAAUGGCCGCGGUAAUUUGACCGUGCAAAGGUAGCAUAAUCAUUAGUUUUUUAAUUGAAAGCUGGAAUGAAUGGUUGGACGAGAAAAUAACUGUCUCAGUUUAAUUGAAUAUAGAAUUUUAUUUAUAAGUAAAAAAGCUUAUAUGAUUUUAAAAGACGAGAAGACCCUAUAGAGUUUUAUAUUUUUACAUAUUAAUUAAGUUUAGUAUAUUUCUAUUUUAAAUUUGUAAAAAUAUUUUGCUGGGGCAGCAGAAAAAUUGAAUAAACUUUUUUUAUUAUUGAAACAUUAAUUUAUGGUUUAAUGAUCCAUUUUUUAUGAUUAUAAGAUUAAAUUACCUUAGGGAUAACAGCGUAAUUUUUUUUUAGAGUUCUUAUCGAAAAAAGAGUUUGCGACCUCGAUGUUGGAUUAAAAUUAACUUUUGGUGUAGGGGCUAAAAGGUUAGGUCUGUUCGACCUUUAAAAUUUUACA